rnacentral:rRNA from 1 species
UACGUAGGGGGCGAGCGUUGUCCGGAUUUACUGGGCGUAAAGCGCGUGUAGGCGGUUUGCCAAGUCCGGGGUGAAAGGCGGGGGCUCAACCCCCGAACUGCGCUGGAAACUGGCAGACUUGAGUGUCGGAGAGGGGAGUGGAAUUCUCGGUGUAGCGGUGAAAUGCGUAGAGAUCGAGAGGAACACCCGUGGCGAAGGCGGCUCCCUGGCCGAACACUGACGCUGAGACGCGAAAGCGCGGGGAGCGAACGGG